rnacentral:rRNA from 1 species
UACGUAGGGUGCAAGCGUUGUCCGGAAUUAUUGGGCGUAAAGAGCUUGUAGGCGGUUUGUCGCGUCUGCUGUGAAAUUUCGGGGCUCAACCCCGAACUUGCAGUGGGUACGGGCAGACUAGAGUGUGGUAGGGGAGACUGGAAUUCCUGGUGUAGCGGUGAAAUGCGCAGAUAUCAGGAGGAACACCGGUGGCGAAGGCGGGUCUCUGGGCAACACUGACGCUGAUGAGCGAAAGCCAGGGGAGCAAACGGG